rnacentral:rRNA from 1 species
GUAGGGGGCGAGCGUUGUCCGGAUUCAUUGGGCGUAAAGCGCUUUAAGGCGGUUCGCUAAGUCGGGUGUGAAACCUCCAGGCUCAACCUGGAGACGCCACUCGAUACUGGCGUGACUAGAGUCCGGUAGGGGACCACGGAAUUCCUGGUGUAGCGGUGAAAUGCGCAGAUAUCAGGAGGAACACCAGUGGCGAAGGCGGUGGUCUGGGCCGGAACUGACGCUGUAGAGCGAAAGCGUGGGGAGCGAACAGGAUUAGAUACCCUGGUAGUCCACGCCGUAAACGUUGGGCACUAGGUGUGGGGGGUUAUCAACGCCUUCCGUGCCGUAGCUAACGCAUUAAGUGCCCCGCCUGGGGAGUACGGCCGCAAGGCUA